GGACAAGCUGGAAGUGGUCCCUUUUCCCCUUCUCUCUUCCUCCAAUGUGAUCCACUGGCAAGGGAGGACGCCAAAGGAAGGCAUCCAAUAAGAUAAAGCUUAUAAAACAUAUAAAUUUAUGAGAAUUAAGACUGAGCUAACAGAUGAGAAUCCUAGUCAUUGUUUAAGCAGCAUUUGUACCUAAUAUAAUUCUCUGUGCAUUAAUUGGGGCCCUAACUUGGCAGGCAGAACUCAGGCACCUGGUGGAGACCGCCCACGUGGCGGUAGGGCUAUGGCAGCAUUUGGCGGAAAGAUUUAUCAUAACACUCACAUACCUGGGUUAGCCCAGGGGCACAGCUCUGGCACCAGGGAGGCUAACAGCCCCAAGCUGCAGGGAGACAUUCCAGGUCAGCUCCCUCAUCCCUCCUCUGGACUCUGGUCUCAUUAGACGUUAUGUGUGUUCACCUACGUGUUGGCAGGUGCUUAUGAAGGCCAGAGGCGUCUUCCUCUGUCACUGUCCACCUUGUUUUUGAGACAAGUCUCUCGAUGAUGCUGGAAUUCACGACUUCAGCUAGAUGAGGAGGCCAGUGAGACCCCCAGGAUCUCCCCUGGGCCGGGACUGCAGGUUCAUCCAAUCAACUACAUGGUAUUCAGAAGCUAUCUGUUAUGAGACAGUCUGUCCUCCUUGGUGGGUGACCACCUUAAGGGCACACAACAAGUCACACAUAUUCCAUAAGAAGUAGUUGGAGAGAUGGCUCAGAGGUUAAGAACACUGGCUGCUCUUCCAGAGGUCCGGAGUUCAAUUCCCAGCAACCACAUUGUGGUUCACAACCAUCUAUAAAUAAGUAGUUAUAACACGUGGAGUAGCGUCAUGGAAGUCACUCAGCAACUGCGAGGUGUCAGUGCCUGGCCCAUGUCAUGAGCUACAGUAAGGAGAAAAGUGAAGAGCCUGCCCUUUGGCCAUCACUCCUACCAGUGUCUGUGUAAUCCACACUAGAACUUGAGCUCAGUAA
rnacentral:lncRNA from 1 species